UACGUAGGGGCAAGCGUUGUCCGGAAUCAUUGGGCGUAAAGAGCGUGUAGGCGGCUCGGUAAGUCCGCUCUGAAAGCCCGGGGCUCAACCCCGGGAGGCGGGCGGAUACUGUCGGGCUAGAGUCCGGAAGAGGCGAGUGGAAUUCCUGGUGAGCGGUGAAAUGCGCAGAUAAUCAGGAGGAACACCGAUGGCGAAAGGCAGCUCGCUGGGACGGUACUGACGCUGAGGCGCGAAAGCGUGGGGAGCAAACAGG
rnacentral:rRNA from 1 species